CAGCCUGCUCCUCCCAGCUCUCUGGAUACUGCAUCAUACCCAGCUCUUCUCCCAGGAUGCAUGGGUAGUUAUGCAAGCAAUGGAAGCAAGGAGUGCUUGCUGCCUUUGAAACGCUGGCUGUCAUGUGGGGCUUCAGCUACUAACUGCUGAAGUUGCUCUUGAACCACCUGUACUGGCACUACAUGAAUCUUCACAGGAACCUGCUGUUUGCUGGCCCCUAAAGGACAACAUGAAGGUGAGUCAUCUGCAGGUAUCCAGAAAAUGUACAGCGUGAAAAUUAUCAGGGCAUUAGGAAUACAAAGUAGGUCCUUAGAGUGCCUUUGGAAAAAUAAAUAUGGAGCGCCUCUAAUUUACAAAGACAACUCAUUUCCUACUCUUCACAGUCGCAGACUAGAAUAAUGAGAUUUCAAAGCUUCCUGUGGGUUUGCUACACACAGUGGUGUGCUGCCACGUUUCUUCAAGGACAGCCCAGAAAGCAAACUGAUGCUUGGCUCCUCCUCUGACCCCGUGGCAGGAGCUGUCCUUGCAGCAGCUGGUGUCUGGCACAACUCUUAUUUCCAGCAGAGCAGGCUGCCAGAGCCCCACCUUUUCUCCACCUUCCCCUCUCUCAACACAGAUGCAUGACAAGGGAGAACAAUAGUUCUGCAGAGACCCAUCUUUUCUCCUAAUACAAGUUGUCUAUCACAGAAAGGCCUUAAUAGUCACAAAGGGUCUAGCAUAUAGACAACUAUCUCUUUAGGAACUAGGCACAUGUCCGUAGAGAUUUAAAGGAAUACAUCAGUUUGGUUAAUUUUUAUACUUAUUCAUAAUAUGAUGAAAUAUUAAAAUAAUCCACAGCUGUACAUACAGUUUUUUCUUUUACUGGAAUAUAACAAAUUCAGGUGUAAGUAAUUCUAAAAUGCAUUAGAUCAAUGCCUGUGAUAACUAUGGAUGUGCUUUCACAGCAUUGGCUGGUGUUUUAAAUCCAAGUGUCACAAAAGCCCACAUUAAUGACCAUUAAUGGACCAAAACGCACAUGGAAGCCUUUGCAAAUUUUCACUCAAGAUGUAUUUUGAAACCU